rnacentral:rRNA from 1 species
CGUCUGGAGAGUUUGAUCCUGGCUCAGGGCGAACGCUGGCGGCGUGCCUAAAACAUGCAAGUCGAGCGGGGGUUGGCCGCGGGGCAACCCGCGGUUUCAGCUCUAGCGGCGAACGGGUGAGUAACACGUGGGUAACCUACCCCGAAGACGGGGAUAACCCCGGGAAACCGGGGCUAAUACCCGAUACCCUCCUCUGGGGGCAUCCCCGGGGGAGGAAAGGGUUGGGCGCAAGCCCUUCCGCUUCGGGAUGGGCCCGCGGCCUAUCAGCUCGUUGGUGGGGUAACGGCCCACCAAGGCGAUGACGGGUAGCUGGCCUGAGAGGGUGGCCAGCCACACUGGCACUGAGACACGGGCCAGACUCCUACGGGAGGCAGCAGUUGGGAAUCUUGGGCAAUGGGCGCAAGCCUGACCCAGCGACGCCGCGUGGGGGAUGAAGGCCUUCGGGUCGUAAACCCCUGUCAGGAGGGACGAAGCUCACCCUUCGGGGUGGGUGACGGUACCUCCAGAGGAAGCCCCGGCUAACUACGUGCCAGCAGCCGCGGUAAGACGUAGGGGGCGAGCGUUGCCCGGAUUUACUGGGCGUAAAGCGGGUGUAGGCGGCC